CCUGGUUGAUCCUGCCAGUAGUCAUAUGCUUGUCUCAAAGAUUAAGCCAUGCAUGUGUAAGUACAGGCCGACUUAAGGCGAAACCGCGGACGGCUCAUUAAAUCAGAUAUAACUCAUUGGAUCUCUGCUGAACCGCAUUACUUGGAUAACUGUGGUAAUUCUAGAGCUAAUACAUGCCUUUGUAGUCUCCGACCGCGAGGGAGGAGCGCUUUUAUUAGACCAAAACCCUCGGCAGCCGGUUCCCGCAAGGGGCCGGCCGCACACAUCUUGGUGAAUCAGAAUAACUUUUGCCGAGCGCACGACCCCUCCCGUAACCCGGGUUGGGUCGGCGCCGCGUCCUGCAGGCGUCUGCCUUUUCAGCUCUCGAUUGUAGGUUAAACGCCUACAAUGGCUAUCACGGGUAACGGGGAAUCAGGGUUCGAUUCCGGAGAGGGAGCCUGAGAAACGGCUACCACAUCUAAGGAAGGCAGCAGGCGCGCAAAUUACCCACUCCCGGCACGGGGAGGUAGUGACGAAAAAUACUGUUGCGAGCCCCGAACGGGGCCUCGCAAUUGGAAUGAGUACACUUUAAAUCCUUGUACGAGGAUCGAGUGGAGGGCAAGUCUGGUGCCAGCCGCCGCGGUAAUUCCAGCUCCAUGACGAGUCGCACCCGGUGGCCUACGUGGGUCGCGCGGGACACGGCUUCUACCACGACAGCGGCGGCUCCAACACCUGCUGUUAUUACGAGGACACGCGCAACCCAGGCGAACCUGACCACUACAUGAUGACUUGGCAUAACUUGGUGGAACUGCGAAAGGACGAGUACGGCGAGGACUGGAUGCUGGAGCCAGGAACACAUCACUGGAGCGGCCUGCAGGUGCCCACCUUCAGGGACAACUGGGAUCUGUGCAAUCUGGCUGGCUGUGAUGGCUCUUUCCUUCAGGUGUGCACAAAGGCCGGGUGUGCCAAGAGCGAUAUCGGAGACGACCCCUUCUAGUCUUCGCCAGAACACUUCACCGCGAAACCUUCUGAUAUCUUGCGAGUUUACAUCUGUUUGUUCUUUUAUUGAUGCCGAAGUUGCAGACUGACUGGGCCUUCACGCUUUCGUCUGUUCUUAUUGUAGCUUUCUAAUAUCAUCUGAAUGCAAUGCUUACUUAUUUAAGAAAGUGGAGAAAGCGUUUACAUAUCUUAAGAAAUAGUAA
rnacentral:rRNA from 1 species